AUUUGCUCAGGAUGAGAAAUGAAGAUGGUCAUCUUGUGCUCAAGCAAACAGAAGUCCUCUGAUGAUCUCAUCAACCAAAUGAGGGGUUUUGACCAAGUGAUGCUCUUGAAAGGAGUGAAAGAAGAGGAUGUGGUAAAUUGUCUUCAGAGAAAAAGCUUCUCAAAAGAUCUUAAAACAGCUUGAAGAAUGGUCUGGGAUCUUAGGACUGGGAGAUCUCACUUGCACCCAGUUAACCUCCAUAGAGAACAUU